rnacentral:rRNA from 1 species
GAUGAACGCUAGCGGCAGGCCUAACACAUGCAAGUCGAACGGUAACAGGAAUUAGCUUGCUAAUUUGCUGACGAGUGGCGCACGGGUGCGUAACGCGUAUGCAACUUACCUCUAACAGGA